rnacentral:rRNA from 1 species
UACGGGGGGGGCAAGCGUUGUUCGGAAUUACUGGGCGUAAAGGGCUCGUAGGCGGCCCACUAAGUCAGACGUGAAAUCCCUCGGCUUAACCGGGGAACUGCGUCUGAUACUGGAUGGCUUGAGUUCGGGAGAGGGAUGCGGAAUUCCAGGUGUAGCAGUGAAAUGCGUAGAUAUCUGGAGGAACACCGGUGGCGAAGGCGGCAUCCUGGACCGAGACUGACGCUGAGGAGCGAAAGCCAGGGGAGCAAACGGG